CGAACGCUGGCGGCAGGCCUAAUACAUGCAAGUCGAACGGCUCUUCGGAGCAGUGGCGGACGGGUGAGUAACGCGUGGGACUGUGCCCUUAGGUACGGAACAACACAGGGAAACCUGUGCUAAUACCGUAUGUGCCCUUCGGGGGAAAGAUUUAUCGCCUUUGGAGCAGCCCGCGUUGGAUUAGGUAGUUGGUGAGGUAAAGGCUCACCAAGCCGACGAUCCAUAGCUGGUCUGAGAGGAUGACCAGCCACACUGGGACUGAGACACGGCCCAGACUCCUACGGGAGGCAGCAGUAGGGAAUCUUGCGCAAUGGGCGAAAGCCUGACGCAGCCAUGCCGCGUGUAUGAUGAAGGUCUUAGGAUUGUAAAAUACUUUCACCGGGGAAGAUAAUGACGGUACCCGGAGAAGAAGCCCCGGCUAACUUCGUGCCAGCCGCCGCAGUAAGAC
rnacentral:rRNA from 1 species